CCUACGGGAGGCAGCAGUGGGGAAUCUUGCACAAUGGAGGAAACUCUGAUGCAGCGAUGCCGCGUGAGUGAGGAAGGCCUUUGGGUUGUAAAGCUCUUUUGUAGGGGAAGAUAAUGACUGUACCCUAAGAAUAAGGUCCGGCUAACUUCGUGCCAGCAGCCGCGGUAAUACGAAGGGACCUAGCGUAGUUCGGAAUUACUGGGCGUAAAGCGCGCGUAGGCCGUUGAGUUAGUUAAUUGUGAAAUCCCAAAGCUUAACUUUGGAACUGCAAUUAAAACUGCUCGACUAGAGUUUGAUAGAGGAAAGCGGAAUACAUAGUGUAGAGGUGAAAUUCGUAGAUAUUAUGUAGAACACCAGUUGCGAAGGCGGCUUUCUGGAUCAACACUGACGCUGAGGCGCGAAAGUAUGGGUAGCAAAGAGGAUUAGAUACCCUCGUAGUCCAUACCAUAAACGAUGAUUGCUAGAUGUUAGGUAAAUUUUACUUUUCAGUAUCGCAGCUACGUACAUUAAGUACAACUCCGUCCGUCGGGGUAGGUACGGACCGACCGAACGGUUAAAACCGUUAACGUAAACGGAAAGUUAGUACGGACGUGAGACGUCGCCGAACGGACGACGACGAGGGAGGUAGG
rnacentral:rRNA from 1 species